UAGGGAAUCUUCCACAAUGGACGCAAGUCUGAUGGAGCAACGCCGCGUGAGUGAAGAAGGUUUUCGGAUCGUAAAGCUCUGUUGUUGGUGAAGAAGGAUAGAGGCAGUAACUGGUCUUUAUUUGACGGUAAUCAACCAGAAAGUCACGGCUAACUACGUGCCAGCAGCCGCGGUAAUACGUAGGUGGCAAGCGUUGUCCGGAUUUAUUGGGCGUAAAGCGAGCGCAGGCGGAAUGAUAAGUCUGAUGUGAAAGCCCACGGCUCAACCGUGGAACUGCAUCGGAAACUGUCAUUCUUGAGUGCAGAAGAGGAGAGUGGAAUUCCAUGUGUAGCGGUGGAACGCGUAGAUAUAUGGAAGAACACCAGUGGCGAAGGCGGCUCUCUGGUCUGCAACUGACGCUGAGGCUCGAAAGCAUGGGCAGCGAACAGG
rnacentral:rRNA from 1 species